rnacentral:rRNA from 1 species
AACGCGAAGAACCUUACCUGGGUUUGACAUCUCCGGACAAACGUAGAGAUACGUCUUUAGUAGCAAUACUACCGGAAGACAGGUGCUGCAUGGCUGUCGUCAGCUCGUGUGGUGACAUGUUGGGUUAAGUCCCGCAACGAGCGCAACCCCUGUCCUUAGUUGCCAGCAUUCAGUUGGGCUCUCUAAGGAGACUGCCGUGGUGAACACGGAGGAAGGUGGGGAUGACGUCAAGUCCUCAUGGCCUUUAUAUCCAGGGCGACACACGUGAUACAAUGGACGGUACAGAGGGAAGCGAAACCGCGAGGUGGAGCCAAUCUCAAAAAGCCGUUCUCAGUUCGGAUUGGAGUCUGCAACUCGACUCCAUGAAGUUGGAAUCGCUAGUAAUCGCGGAUCAGCACGCCGCGGUGAAUACGUUCCCGGGCCUUGUACACACCGCUACAGU